UACGAAGGGGGCUAGCGUUGCUCGGAAUCACUGGGCGUAAAGGGUGCGUAGGCGGGUCUUUAAGUCAGGGGUGAAAUCCUGGAGCUCAACUCCAGAACUGCCUUUGAUACUGAGGAUCUUGAGUACGGGAGAGGUGAGUGGAACUGCGAGUGUAGAGGUGAAAUUCGUAGAUAUUCGCAAGAACACCAGUGGCGAAGGCGGCUCACUGGCCCGUAACUGACGCUGAGGCAUGAAAGCGUGGGGAGCAAACAGG
rnacentral:rRNA from 1 species